ACAUCUCUCCUUCUCGGCCAGUUUUCCGGUGACUAGCUACUGCUCUGUAUUAAAUCAGACUUCUCACAGGUAAGUAUCAAUCUGGUUUUUAGCAGCUAACGGUUGAUUCAAAGGGUCGAGCCCUCCUUGUUUACCAAGAAGGGAAGCUAUCUACUCUGCGCUUUGGCUUUUCUCCACACGGAGUUAAGAGCCUACAAAAGAGAAUGAUUCUUGACCCUGGGUUAUGAUAUACUUUUAUCUACUGAAAACUAGAACCAUUACCUGUACUGAUUGCUUUCACUGUGCAUGUGGAAAUGUGUUUUCUUUUAUCCAUCUAUAAUUUAUUGCUCACCUACUCGAUUUGAGUUAGGAACUAUCCACUUUAUGUGGCUUUAAGAGCUCUGUCUCUACAGUUUAUUUUCUGUGCACUCACUACAAACCAGAUGGCAUCUUCUUCUCACCCUCAGUACGAAACCCGCUUUAAGGAUGAGGAUUGAUUUUGAUACAAAGAAGCCUCUGGCUACGUUUGUGCAAUUACCCAGACCCAAUGCAACUGUUUUCAGAAUCCGGUUACAGUAUGAAAAACUUCAGAAUUUCUGCUUUCAUUGAGGGAGGCUAGGACAUAUGAUCACAGCUUGCAGGCAUCAGGUAAAUCAUAUACUUAUCAAAUUGGGGGUAAAGUAUGAUAAUUCCUUAAUUGCAUAUCCUCCUCAAAGACCUGUAUUCACACAAAGAACCUAUCCACCGGAGUUCCCAUAUGCUCCGACCACCGGAAUCUUCAGCCGGAAAUCAAGUGGGGGAGGAACUGGCCAAAGUUUGAAUUUGGACUCGAGGGGAGAGAUUGAUAGGGACAACACGAUGAUGGCUCAAGGUACUAGGGAUGAAAAUGAUUACUCCACUGUACAAGCUGAGGACUCAAUGUCCCCCAUGGUGAUACAGAGACCAAGGUUGACCAAGCAAGCACUCCAACAGGGUCCCAGCUUGUACGAUCCUGAUGCACAUGGGGUAAUGUUCAGAAAUGAGUAGGGCUGGCAUUUUCAGCCAAGACAAACCAACAAACUGAGUCCGAGCCGAACGGGAAAAGUAGGUAGCCGACCAUGUCGGUAAUCGAAAGUUUGGUACGGUAGUACCGAACUGAGAGAAAUAUAUUGGUACGGUAUUGGUAUUGAAUUUUAGACAUAUACGGUAUACCGUACCGAAUCGUAUAUUGUAUAUAUUAUUUAUUUAUUUAAAUAAAUUUUAUAUAUAUCGAUCUGAACCGUUGAUUAUUAUUAGUUUUAUUUCAUAUUAAAUUAUAACCGUUCGAUUUAGUUUUAUUUCAUAUUAAAUUAUAGCCGUUCGAUUUUAAAUUUUCCAAACCCUAAGGGGGGUUUGAUCGAGCCCUCUCUCAGACCCGAACCCUCUCCGCCUCGGCGCCUCUCGACCUCUCCUUCAGCCCUUUGAAGUGAUGAUGUUCGAACUAUCCAAGAAUCGAACCCAGAGAUAAGAGAUUCAUGUCCUAGUGUCCUACGACCGUGGAAUGGGUCUCUGUUGCCGUUAAUCUCAAGUGGAACAAGAGGACCAAGGACUGAGUUUGAGUGUUUGAGACUUUGAGGGAGACGAAGGCAAAGUCACUACACAAUUGAAGGUGUUGUUCCAAUCUCAGAAAUUCAAGUAAUCAUCUAAUCAAGGCCGGCUUAGACCUGGAGCAACGUAUCAUUUCAUUCAUUUGUGUGAAGUGUGAACUAUAAGUGUUUGAAUUAGAAAUUGUAUGAACUAUGAAGUGAUGAUGAGAUGAACUGAAGUUGAUGUAUU